rnacentral:rRNA from 1 species
UACGUAGGGGGGAAGCGUUGUCCGGAUUUAUUGGGCGUAAAGAGCGUGUAGGCGGCCUUACAGGUCAGCUGUGAAAACUCGAGGCUCAACCUCGAGACGUCGGUUGAAACCGUAUGGCUAGAGUCCGGAAGAGGAGAGUGGAAUUCCUGGUGUAGCGGUGAAAUGCGCAGAUAUCAGGAAGAACACCCGUGGCGAAGGCGGCUCUCUGGGACGGUACUGACGCUGAGACGCGAAAGCGUGGGGAGCGAACAGG